rnacentral:rRNA from 1 species
GACGAACGCUGGCGGCGUGCUUAACACAUGCAAGUCGAACGGAAAGGCCCUGCUUUUGUGGGGUGCUCGAGUGGCGAACGGGUGAGUAACACGUGAGUAACCUGCCCUUGACUUUGGGAUAACUUCAGGAAACUGGGGCUAAUACCGGAUAGGAGCUCCUGCUGCAUGGUGGGGGUUGGAAAGUUUCGGCGGUUGGGGAUGGACUCGCGGCUUAUCAGCUUGUUGGUGGGGUAGUGGCUUACCAAGGCUUUGACGGGUAGCCGGCCUGAGAGGGUGACCGGCCACAUUGGGACUGAGAUACGGCCCAGACUCCUACGGGAGGCAGCAGUGGGGAAUAUUGCACAAUGGGCGGAAGCCUGAGGCAGCAACGCCGCGUGCGGGAUGACGGCCUUCGGGUUGUAAACCGCUUUCGCCUGUGACGAAGCGUGAGUGACGGUAAUGGGUAAAGAAGCACCGGCUAACUACGU